UACGGGGGGGGCAAGCGUUGUUCGGAUUUACUGGGCGUAAAGGGCGCGUAGGCGGCGCAACAAGUCACUUGUGAAAUCUCCGGGCUUAACUCGGAAAGGUCAAGUGAUACUGUUGUGCUAGAGUGCGGAAGGGGCAACUGGAAUUCUCGGUGUAGCGGUGAAAUGCGUAGAUAUCGAGAGGAACACCUGCGGCGAAGGCGGGUUGCUGGGCCGACACUGACGCUGAUGCGCGAAAGCCAGGGGAGCGAACGGG
rnacentral:rRNA from 1 species